rnacentral:rRNA from 1 species
UCGAGAAUCUUCCGCAAUGGGCGAAAGCCUGACGGAGCGACACCGCGUGCAGGACGAAGGCCCUCGGGUUGUAAACUGCUGUCACGCUAUAGGAAUUCCAUGUCGUUAAUAGCGGCAUGGUUGACUAAGGCGAAAGGAAGUGGCGGCUAACUCUGUGCCAGCAGCCGCGGUAAGACAGAGGCCACGAACGUUGUUCGGAAUCACUGGGCAUAAAGCGCACGUAGGCGGCUAGGUCCGUCCGAUGUGAAAGCCCCCGGCUCAACCGGGGAACGGCAUCGGAUACAGCCUGGCUUGAGGACGGUUGGGGUGAGUGGAACUCCUGGUGGAGCGGUGAAAUGCGUAGAUAUCAGGAGGAACACCGGUGGCGAAAGCGGCUCACUGGACCGUUACUGACGCUGAGGUGCGAAAGCUAGGGGGAGCAAACGGGAUUAGGAUACCCCGGUAGUCCUAGCCGUAACGAUGGGCACUGGGUAGGGGUGAAGCCUAUGCUCUUCCCUGCC